rnacentral:rRNA from 1 species
GAACGUACCCAAGAGUGGGGGAUAACGUAGCGAAAAGUUACGCUAAUACCGCAUACGAUCUAAGGAUGAAAGCAGGGGAUCGUAGGACCUUGUGCUCCUGGAGCGGCCGAUAUCUGAUUAGCUAGUUGGUGAGGUAAAGGCUCACCAAGGCAUCGAUCAGUAGCUGGUCUGAGAGGACGACCAGCCACACUGGAACUGAGACACGGUCCAGACUCCUACGGGAGGCAGCAGUGGGGAAUUUUGGACAAUGGGGGCAACCCUGAUCCAGCAAUGCCGCGUGAGUGAAGAAGGCCUUCGGGUUGUAAAGCUCUUUUGUCAGGGAAGAAACGGUUUUGGCUAAUAUCCAGAGCUAAUGACGGUACCUGAAGAAUAAGCACCGGCUAACUACGUGCCAGCAGCCGCGGUAAUACGUAGGGUGCAAGCGUUAAUCGGAAUUACUGGGCGUAAAGCGUGCGCAGGCGGUUUUGUAAGACUGUCGUGAAAUCCCCGGGCUCAACCUGGGAAUGGCGAUGGUGACUGCAAGGCUAGAGUUUGGCAGAGGGGGGUAGAAUUCCACGUGUAGCAGUGAAAUGCGUAGAUAUGUGGAGGAACACCGAUGGCGAAGGCAGCCCCCUGGGUCAAAACUGACGCUC